GGUGAGUGGCGUGGGAAGGAAUAAGGUCAGAGACAACAUUGAUGAAACGCAUAUGCUUUGGUGGUUUGUGGAUUUCAGCGUCUGUUUUUUCAAACUUGCCUCCAUCCCCGCGCUCAAAAGCAACGAUCCGUUUGGUUAAAGGAACGCAAACGCCUUUUAGAGAGAGAAAGUUCCUGCUUUUUGGAGAGAGAGAGAGAGAGAGGGAAAGAGAAACCGAAAGGAGGAGGAGGAGGAGGAGAAGAAGCAGCGCAAGUACACACACGGCACAGCAAAUCUCUCUCGAUUGAAGAUCCACUCAGCAAAUCUCUCCAAUCUGUAUGCGCGCGCUCUGUUUCUCCUCGUCUUCGACAACUUCCGGACAUCACUGUUUCAAUCGGAUCGCUAUAUAUGAACAUAUUAUCAAUGCAAUGCAAUGUUCAAAGUAAAUCGCGAGCUACGUUUGCAAUUAGCGCAUUUUCCUUGCCUUGUUAAUUUGGAUUCCUUGAUAAAAAAGCGAGUCAAAAGUUCGGAUCCUAGGUGAGGUAACCUACUCUCGGGUCGUCACUCCCAAUUAUAUACACUCUCUGUUUCUGUGAACACUAUACAACGUCCAAAGGGAAAUCAGGAGCCACGAUUGCAAUUGGUGCAUUUGCGGUGCUUUGUUUGAACCCUAAUUUCAAUUCCGUGAUAUUAGAAGAAAAAAAAAAGGGAGUGAAAAAUUCGAGUCCUGGGCAAUUGCGUUGAGGUAAAAGACGCGUCGUGUUUGUCGAUUGUUUUGGAAAGAGAAGAAGGGAGGGGACGAGCUCUUCCUUGCCUUACAAAUUAUAUAUAUACAUACAAGACAAUAAAUACUCGUAGCCUUAGCAUGCGAUGCGAGUGAGAAAGAGGGAAGGAAAUGGGGAAGUCUAGCCAGAAGGAGCGUCACAUAGUUUCAUGGUCGCAAGAGGAGGAUGAUAUUCUUCGUGAGCAAAUUCAAGUUCACGGAACAGAAAAUUGGUCAAUCAUUGCAUCAAAGUUCAAGGAUAAAACAACCAGACAAUGCAGAAGAAGAUGGUACACAUACUUGAAUUCUGAUUUCAAGAAGGGGGGAUGGUCUCCAGAGGAAGACGUGCUCCUAUGUGAGGCUCAAAAAAUAUUUGGUAACAGAUGGACUGAAAUAGCAAAGGUGGUAUCGGGGAGAACUGAUAAUGCUGUGAAGAAUCGAUUCUCCACCCUGUGUAAGAAGAGGGCAAAACAUGACGCCUUAGCAAAAGGGAACAACAUUUCAUACCGAAAUAACAUAAGGGGCCUCUUUGGAAAUGAGUCUAGUGCAGCUGAAAUAUCAGAAACUGCAACACUUCUAAAGAAAAUAAGGAGGACCCAUUUCUCUGAUCUAACGGAAAACUGCAAUCAUGGAAAAAGAUUGUCCACGGAAUGUGGAACAAAAACAGAUCACCAGCCCAGGCCUCCAUUUGCGGUAUUGGUGCAAAACCUCCAUAAUCUGGAAGACCUGUCUUCUAGGCAUCACGGCCAUGACACCAAGGAAAUCUCAAAUGAAGUUAAUAGCCACAAUAUUCAAGGAACUUUUCUCAAAAAGGAUGAUCCAAAGAUAUUUGCAUUGUUGCAACAAGCAGAACUACUAAGCUCGCUUGCGGUCAAAGUUAACACAGAGGGUACAGGGCAGAGUCUUGAAAAUGCAUGGGAGGUUCUACAAGAUUUUCUGCACCAAACCAAUGGGAGUGAUGUGCUCAAUAAUAGAAUAUAUGAUAUGGAUUUUCAACUUGAAGUUUGUAAAGACUUGGUAGAGGACUUAAGGAGUAGUAAUGAGGGCAGUCAACCAUCCUGGAGGCAACCUGAUUUAUGCGAAGAGUCCCCCUGCAGCUCUGAGCACAGUACAGGAUCAACUCUCCUCUAUGAUUUGGCACGUGAUAAAAUGGAACAGAGUCAAUGUGAUAUCUCUACUCUAUAUCAAGACAGCAUAGCUGAGUUGCAGGCAACUCAUAUGGGUGACGAAAAUUGUGAUGGUGAAAAUGGAAAUUUUUAUGGGGAAACCACAAAUCAAGAACACGUUGGAGUCAUCUCUUCCUUCUCAAGUACAGAGUUCAGUUCUCCUCUUCAAGUAACCCCAAUAUUCAGAUCGUUUGCUGCAGAGAUCCCCAGCCCUAAAUUUUCAGAAAGUGUAAGUCAUCUUAUCUUUGAGUCUGCUGUUAUUAACCUUAUGGAUAGCAGUAUGCUUUGUGUCAUAAAGUCAGCCACCCACUCAUCAUCCUCCACAGAACACAAAUAAGAUAGACAAACAUGCUAUUGAUUGUCAAACUAGCUAAAAUUUGUUUUUUGGACCAAUUAUAUAAUGGUAACACUAAAUAUGUUUCUGUCACUGUUACUAAUAUUUCCAGCAAUAAGACUUCUAGUAUGCUGGGUGUUAGGCCUUUACCACCAUACUAGCACUUGGAUCCUCAUAGGAAGCAAUCAACUUACCACCAUACUAGUAGCAGAUGCAGCACCACUAACUAUCCUAGUCUAUAAAAGAAUUUAGAUAAAGUCAGAGCAUAUUAUCUUGUUCACAUCAACUUCAAAGGACCAGCUCCACCUCAUUAGUGGUGAAGUUUAAGCAUAUGUUCAAGUUUGAAAACUUAGAUGUUUUUGUUCAUUUCUAGGAGUGGUGUACAACAAACUUCAAUUAGUUUGCACGCAUCUUGCCGUUGGAACCAAUUAGAUAUAUAUUUUGAAGUACAAAAUGUUUAUGAUACGGGGAUGAUCUGAAACAGCCAAACAUUGAGAAGGAUCGAAGAAGAAAGAGAAGAAAUUAAGGAAGGAAUACGAGAAGAAGAAUUAAGAAAGAACAGAAAGAGAAUACUCAGGAGAGAAAAUCAGUAAAUUUUUGUAUUCAAUAACAUGAAUUUCUGAAUACAUCUUAUGCAAAUUUAUAAGAUGAGAUCCUAUUCUAACUAUAAUAUAAUUACCCUUACUACAAUUAUCUCAAAAAAUAAAUAAAAGAAAAAAUCUAGAAUCUAAAUAGAAUAAGAUAAAUCAACUAAAUAUCCUAUCAAUGUCCCUCAAUGGGAGACAAACUCGUCCUUGAGUUUUAUGGAUCCUUGCUACUCAAUUGCCCAAUCAUAAGGAAAGUGGUCAGAUGGUCUUCUGUUGCCACCUACCAUAUACCUGUAUCACUAGAUAUCGUGUGUUGUCAUCAACACAGACUCCCCUAUGAUAGAAAGAGAACACUGUCGUUAUGUCUAUAUCAUGUCGGCUCCUGUAACUCCAGGAUGAGGGUCAAGCUAUUACAAUUUGGCUCUAGUGAUCCAUGUAGAAUCAGAACUAGGAUGACCUUUCAAACGGACAAAGAAUUGUUGAAUCCCCAAUCCCUGAUAAAAAUAAUCUGUUUAUCUAAAAUAACAUCAAUUUUAACCUUGUGUGCAGAAUUUACAAGGUAUGAAGUGUUAGGCUUAGGUGAUGAAGUGUUAGGCUUGGGGUUGAGGAUAGUUGGUAGGUGAAUUAAUGAAUGGAUCAUCAAGUGGUGUGAUAUGGCUUCUAUAUGCAGCAAGGUCCUCAACAUUAAAUGUGAGCUAAAACCAAAAUCAGGUGGUAUACCAAUGACAUAUGCAUUCAGUCCAACUUUUUUUAAGAACCCGCACUACAAGGUUGCAAGUUAAGAAAGUUCCUGAGGAAACUGCUCUGGCCUAGGCAGAUCAUAACAUAACCACCGCUAAUAAAUUCAACACGAUGCCUAUGAAUAUCAACUUGAAGAUAGUAUAAUGAAUUACUUGCCUCGAGUUGUUUAUUGAUCUCAACACGCAUCACAAAUGUGUUGUGCAAAAGACACAGCGGAUUCUAACACUCGAACGUUGGGGUGACAUGGGAAUGGGGGUUAAAGGCUUCCUAUUGUCAUGGGAUACCAAAGUGUUGGCCAAGUUUUGGUGCCCGUGAGCCCCACACAGGCCAAUAAUUUCGAUCAGAUAGGUGGAGGUUCAUCCAACAAACGGCACCAGUGCAACACUGUGCAGCUGGAGGGAGAUGGCGGCACAAGCAUCCUGGUGUGUGCGUGCACUCAGGCAUUUCAAAUUGAGGCGGGCUGGCGAGGCGCUCGUGCACACAUUUAAACUAGGUGCGCGCGGCCUGGCCAAUAUGGGCGCACGCAACACUCCGCACCAGAAGUUUAAAAAUCAAUAUUGCGUUAGAUUUUUGCCACCUUCACCGAAUUUGAGCGAGCUUUGAGGCCUAUAAAUACUCAAUUCGUACAUGACACAUUUGUGCUUGAUGAAACUUGUUCAAUUUUCCCACACCUACUGAAAGUUUGCCUUCCUUUCGCACGUCUUGCUUGUGUCUUUGACUUCUCUUCCACCUUCCAUCUAUUUCCAACCUUGUUGAAUAACAUCUAGGUUGAUAGGCUGACUUAGUGCUUCAAGGGACAUUCAGGGCAUCUAAGGCCGCACUUGGGAAAGAAGAAUCCACCUGUGACACUAUGUAACCAUCUACUACCUCAAAUGGAAUCAUAUCGUUAGACCUAUUAAAAGAGUUGUUAUAUACAAAUUGUGUAGUGGGGAAGAUCAAAUCUCAAUUCAUUUGGUUGUCUUACACCAAGCAUCUCAACAAAUUUCCUACAAGUAAGUUGACAACCUCAAUUUUGUCACGACCCAAGGGCAAUUUUCAAAUUUCUUGUAAAAGCAGUAGCCUUAGUUAUUGAUUGAUUCCCCACGGUUAUGCUGUUAAACCAGUGGGAAGGGCCUAUAUAAGGCCAAGAUGUAAGAGGAUGGGAGUUCAUGUUGAGAAUAUAGAAUUCUUUCCCUCCUAAUUCACUUCCCUCUCAAUUCUCUCUUUCAAAUUCUCCCUCCAAAACUCUCUCUCUUGUCUCUCUAUCUUUCCCUCUUCUCUGUUCUGCUCAAGUCUCAAUUGAGAGACUUAACAAAUUUGUCCAUUCAUUUGGGUGGGAAUGCAGCGCAAAAUUUUAGCUUGGUCCCAACUAAAUGCCAUAGGAUUUUUCAAAAAAUAACAAGUAAAUCAAACAUCUCAAUAAAAAACUAUGGUCUUAGGAAGACCAUAUGGUUUGACAAUUUCACAAAAGUAUAUAACCUCAGAUGCAUAGGAGGUUUUGCUAAGUGGGAUAAAAUGGGUCAAUUUGAAAAAUGAUCCACAACCACAAAAAUUGAGUCAUGUUUUUUCGGGGUGCAGGGAAGACCUAAACAAAAUCCAUGCUAACAUCUUGCCACGAACACCUAGGAACAGCACUGGGGGAGUAUAGAAGCCAGUGCUUUGUUUCUUAUGUUUGGCUAACUGAUAAGUGCAAUGCUAAUGGAGUAACUUGGCUAUGUCUCUUUUUAGACUCGUCAAAUAAAAUUGGUGUUCUACUUCCUUAAUGGUGUUGUUAUGCCCAAAAUGUCUUGAAAGAUCUCUUGCAUGAAUUUCCCACACUAAGAAAUCUUUCACUGAUCAUGGGAUGGGAUAUAAAGCCAACUAACACAAAACAAAUAUUGGUGCUGAAUGUGAAAAUCCUCAAAAGAGUUAGUUAGCCCGCCGGGGGGAAGGGGGGCACAACCUAAUCUGGAGAAGGAUGACUGCCUCUACGUCUAACAUACUAAGGUCUCGACAAAAGCUCAUAGUUUUGGGCCAAAGUAUAAGCGUGAUCAAGGGUCUUCGCGAUCAAGGGUCUUUAUACCUCUUAGAACUACUUCCCUCUUAAGAUCGUCAUUAAGUCUCUUUAAACCUACUCAAAGUUACAAUUUCAUCCUCAAAGAUGUUCAAGAUGUUACACCUCAUCUUAAAUCAUCAACUUGGGACAAAUAGUCAUGCACACUUUUGUUAUCCUGUCUAAGAUUGUUCCAUUGGUCCGUUAAGAUGGAGGAAGGUACCUCUUUUGAAGUUGUGCCUUCAUUUCUUCCCAAUCCUUGAUUGGAGGUUGACACCUUCUUGCUAGGAGGGCUUUGACACUUCCCCAGUAAAGUUUGGCUCCCCCAGUUAAUUUUAGAUGUGCAAAUAAAACUUUUCUAUUUUCUGGGAAAUUGUACCAUUCAAAGAAUUAGUCCAUUGGAUGAAAGCCCAAGGAUCAAGGCAAACAUCAAAGGUAGGGGCUUCUAACUUGACAUGUUUCAAGAGUAACUCAUCCUGAUUGGUUAGAGGAAUGUUAGCGUUUCAAUGGUAGUUACCAUGGUCUCUUUCUGAAUCCCUAUGUAUAUUAUGGCCCGCAUCAGGUAUCAUGCCCUCUCGUCUAUCGUGAUGGUUCCUAAUGUAAGAUGCAUCACUCUCUUCAGCCUUAGAUUGAUGACGGUUCAUUUCAAAUUCUUCAACCCUUGUGGUCAAAGCUUCAACUUUAGUAUGCAUUUGACCUAUUUGGGUUUGUGGCUGUUGAAGACUUUGUAAUACUUGGGCUAGUGGUUGGGAAGAAUGGUCUGAGAGGUUAGACUCCAUGGCCCUACCACUCUGCAUGUUCAUUGACACACUCUGAUCAAAUAUGUUGAGACCAAUUGACAAUUAAGGCAAUUUUUUUAACUAAAUUACAAAAUAUAUGAAGUGUAGUGAGGCAAAUAUGGUUAAAGAAUUCAAGCACGGCUAUGAAAAUUCUAAAAAGCACACAAGAAUAAAUUAACGCAAAUUUUGAAAACAGAAAAUUAAACCAAGAGGAAGGAAAGAAACCCCUUCCGCAUCUGUUAUUGGGUAAGAUGAAUCUGGUUUGGGCUUGGAUUGAAGGCUAUAGUGGUUAUGGGCUUGGGUUCAAAGCAAAUUAGUGUUCUGGAAUGGGUCGGGUACCAAAUUGGGCUCGGGUCAACUGAAAUUGGGUUAAGUUUGUAAUCGGGCUCUGAAAUUGAGGUAUGAGGGCGGGUUAAUCGGCUGGGGUAACAGCAGGGGAUUAGCCGAUGGAGUUCCGACCUUGACGACGUUGCCGACGACGAGGGUUCUGGUGAAGAACGAAGGAGACUACUGUUGAUUUCAGCGGUGGCCUUCGGUCGUUUCGGUGGAUUGAUAUGCGUCGAUUGCUCCUGUCGGUCGCUGUUGAGGAUUAAGACGGUGGGUUUCUGAUGAACGGGCUUGCUGUUGUAAUGGCGGAAACUGCUGCUGAUGUAUGGUGUAUGGUGUAUGGUGAUGAAAUUGAUGAAAGCCAUGGAGCCAAGAGGUUUGAUCUAGUACCAAUUUAACACGGACCAGCCAGAAAUUUAGAAAGAAGAAGAGCGGAAGCAGCUUAAGAUCAAGAAAGAGAAAUCAAUACCCAAAGUGUGAAUUUGUCAAUACAUUGUAGCCUUCGUUAUAGCCUAAAACUCUAUCCUAUUCUUAACCGUAAUAUUAUUUUAGUAUAAUUAUCUAAAUAAAGUAAAUAAAAGAUAAAAUAUAAAAUAUAAAAAUUAUAAUAUAGUGGGAUGGAAUUAAAUAAUAAGCAUAUAUAGUAUACAUAAAAUAAUUAAAAAUUCCGUGUGCGCAUCAUUACUGGUCAUUAAUCACUGAUACAUCUAAUAUGAACUCAACACACAACGUUACCAUAAAUUCAGAAUAGUGAGCUAAAUUACGAAUAAUUGUCUGAAUUGGCCAUCUUCCUGCAGAAAUUUGCAACGGAUCAUUCCUACGUAGGGCUGCUUGUUUUCAACCAAUAGUUUUAAUUUUCACGUAGUGCAACGAAUUUAGUUAACCCCUUGAAUGGUUCUUUUAAUAGAGGUAGUUGGGAGGAAGUGGUGAUCCCUGUAGCCUACCCCCAAAUAAUUCAGACCAUGGUCUGAUUGGGUUGAGUUCAAUUAGAACUGUUCAUUCUGUCUGGCUCAUGAACAGUUCUACAAAAUAUAAUCAGGUGGCUUAAGUUUUACAAAAGAUAAUCAGGAAAGGCAAUUCCUACUGAAAACACUUGGAAUGGAAUCUCCAUCCUCAAAUUCAAGCGCUAAUCCUUCCCAACCUCCACCCUGCAAGAGGGCACUGCUCCAGAGCUU